UACAGUCAUAUCACGUUGAAACACGGGUUCCCGUAUAAUCAUUGAAGUUAAGCAACACCGGGGCCUGUCAGUACCUAGAUGGGUAAUCGCUUUGGAAUAUCAGGUGCUGUAA